rnacentral:lncRNA from 1 species
GAAAACCAAAAUAUGUAAAUGUAUAACUUAUGUACGAUCAUAUAUAUACCGUAUAUAUACGAAAAAUGCAAGGAAAAGGGCUGGUAUACUUUUGGUAUACAAUGCUGGAAAAUGGACCUAAAGUCCAUAAGAUUAAAAGCCCAAAGGUCGGCAAGCUAUUAAUGGGCUGAAAGGGGCCCAACUCCAACUCUUUAUUUUUAUUCUUUUAUUGACACCCAAAACCUCUCUAGCAGUCUCCUUAAUGCAACCCACAGCCUUAUCCCACAAGCUAUCUAUGUCUCCCCGACACUCCCACGCCCCCAUCCCUUCCAACUUCACCUCUAUCUCUAAAGCACUGGUCGGAGUCAGGCCACCCCACCUAACUCUAGGUCGACCCUCCCCACUCCUCCUUUUAUUGCCCAUCUUUAUAACCAAAUCCAUCGCCAGGAGUCUAUGUUGAGUUACAAGAUUCUCAUUCGGAAUAACCUUACAAUCCUUACACAAGGCUCUAUCCCCUUUCCUAAGCAACAAAAAGUCAAUCUGGGUCUUGGCUAACUUACUAUGGAAAGUAACCAAAUGCAUUUCUUUCUUCGGAAAGCUGGAGUUCACUACCACCAACACAAAGGCCCUCGCAAAAUCCAACAGAGCAGUACCCUCAUCAUUCCUAUCCCCAAAACCAAAGCCACCAUGCACAUCAUGUAACCAAUCGGCAAAUGCCCGAUGUGCCCAUUGAAGUCCCCUCCUAUGAGAAGCUUCUCCGAACUAAGCACGCCUCGGAUCACCUAGUCUAGGACCUCCCAAAACCUCCUCUUCUCCUCCUCACCCAGUCCUACCUGUGGCGCGUAAGCACUACAGACGUGCACCGUAAUUUGGUCAAUUUAUUAAAUUUGAUCUUAAUUGAAUCAACUUGGUCACAAUUGCAAUACAAUUGGCCAAUUGAUAUUCGCUUUGGUUAAAAUUUAAAUAAACUCGGCCGAAUUUUAAUCCAAUUUGAGCUAUUUUAUUAAAUUCUAAAUCUAUCCAAAACAACAACAACCAGCCCAUUGCAAAACCUGACCCGACCAGGCCCAUUAUUGAUUUCCCCUUCAACAAAUAACAACAGCCAUCAGCCUGGCCCAACAGGCCCAACACCAACCAGCCCAAAUAUCCCCUUAACCGGCCAAGAUUUUUUCUUCUCCCUUAACCUGAUCAAAUAUCAACAAUAGCUUUCAACAAAAACUGCUAGUCUGCAACUCCAAAAACAAUUAACAACAAUAAUAAUUUCAGCAAAACAACAACUUAGCGAUAUCAAGAACAACAACAGCCGCGUGACCCGACACCCAUCGAUCAGCCCGAUUUCGACCCGAAUUCGUCCAGCUUCAGUCAACGCGUACAACGGCUAAUACCAACGACAAACCCUCCAAAUCGUGGAAAAUCUCUCUUUUCAUCUUAUCUCUGCAAUUUUGCAGAGCUAGAGCCAUUGUUGUGGACUUUUGGCUCAAAAUUGUGUCUUCUAUUUUAAAAUUCAAUGCAAAUCAGAAGGGGUCAUGAAUUCGAACCCAAAUUUCAGGGGAUAUAUUUCUCCAUUUUAAUGAUGAAAAAUCAGUCUUCCCCUAUGAUUAGAGAUUGAGGGGAAGAAGAAAAGGAGGGGGGAAAAAGAAUUGGAGAAGAAAACGGAUUCAAAAACUCGAUCCCGAUAAAAAUUUGAACUCCUACGGAUCGGAGUCGAAAAUCCGAUGGUGGAAGCUUCGUCGUGGUAGGCUCUUUUGUCCCGAUUUGCUGCCCCUAAAAAGGUAAACACCUUUCUCUUUAAAUUUUCUUUUUCGUCAUAAUUAUCUCUUCAUUAGCAUCAUAGCGAUGACGUUGUUGGGACUGUUUGCUGUAGACGCCCUGAAGGCGAUAGGAUUUUCUUGCUUGUUGUAUAAUUUUUGUUGGUUGAGCUUCGCAUAAUUCAUAAUAUGCAAAAAAAUGGGCCUAGAAAGCAUGAUAUUAGGACUUCACCGUUAUCCUGAAACAUGAAGGUAUGAUAGCAAGUUUACUUAGUUGAGUCUAUGAAUUUAUAAUCGGUGAGUCUAUGAAUUUGUAAUUGAAAAAAUAUUAUCCUGCUAUUAUCUAAGAUUGAUAUCUUCCAUACUAUAUAGUUAGUCUCCUUUGUUGGUGUAAUCUACCUUUAAUAAGAAAAAUAGCUUCUUUUCUUUUAAUCUGCCAAAACAACUUUUUUUUUUUAAAAAUCUGCCAGUAGCCCAACAUAUAGGCAUAUUAAUCUCUGUUUCUUGUAAACUACAAAUGGUUGCCUUGCAAAUUAUGUGUUAGCAUAUUGAAUUAUCAGAAUCUUUGCUUAUGUUGGCUUGAAUUCAAGUGUAAACAUAUUAUGGUGUUUUAAGGUUCCACUCUUUGGUUUACUUGUUUUCUUGUCCAUUCAUAUGGUGUCUUGAUGAACAUAGGCUAUAUUAGACAUUAAUUAUUCAGUGUGAAGUUGAAUCGACUCAUCAAAUGAUUAUAUUGACAUCUCGAUCUUUGAAAAUAUGUGUUCAACUUUUUUUGUUUGGUUUUAAUCCUUUUCACAUACUAAUCUUUACCCUUUUAUAUGCAUGAACUCCCCCAUUGAGUCCCCCGGACUCCCAUCACUUGCAUUCCGUUGGGUUAAAUCUAACUUGCAUCGAGUCAAGAUCCGUACCAAGUCCAAAGUGGGACUAAUAAAUGAAGCAAAACGGACCAAUACCAAAGCUGUAUAUGCAGAUAUACAAUAGUAUACGGAGGAUAUAUGGUUGAAAGUUAGAGAGGAAAACUAGUGUGCAGGUGGAAAACCAAAAUAUGUAAAUGUAUAACUUAUGUACGAUCAUAUAUAUACCGUAUAUAUACGAAAAAUGCAAGGAAAAGGGCUGGUAUACUUUUGGUAUACAAUGCUGGAAAAUGGACCUAAAGUCCAUAAGAUUAAAAGCCCAAAGGUCGGCAAGCUAUUAAUGGGCUGAAAGGGGCCCAACUCCAACUCUUUAUUUUUAUUCUUUUAUCA